UCAAGUCAUAAAGAUCGGUCAGACGCGUGCGGUGAAGAUCGAUCUGUUCGUGCAGUAUAAUUUCUUGACAAAUAAUUCCGUUGGCGGAUAAUUUCAUGCGCGAUCUAUUCAUCUUUCAACGAUUCGGAAAGCAAUAAGCAAGCGCUGACGGAAAUAUGAGCCAAGAAGGAAGAAAAAGGAAGGAAAAUCAAUUUUGGAGAUCAUUUAUAAAUCUUCUUGCUUCGCAGCCAUUCGGUCGAAUAUGAUGUACUAAAGCAAAAUGGCGGAUGAAAUGACGCUAAGGAUCUAUUCCUGCGUGGUAACAUCGGACCACCAAGAUAGCUCAGUGGAUUGCCGAAAGUUCGUUGGCCGUCCGGCAAGAAGAUAGAAGACGUAUUGAAAGUUAUCGGCUUGUCUGGUGCUAAAAUAAAAUAAUCUUCAUAAUUAACUCUACUCGAUUAAGCAGAUUUUUCUCGAAAUUAUAUAUACAUGUAAUCCCCAUAGUAACAAAAGUAAGUCAUAAUAAUAUCACAACAAAGUCAUGAUGAGAAAUGUUCGCUUUGUCACAAGUAUGAUAUCGCUAUGACACUAAGACUAUGUUUCAAAAUUGUCUGCCAGUACUGAAAGUCUCUAGUUUAUUUCACGUGUACUAUAGAUUUUCAGUACUAGCAGUAAAUUUUGAAACACAGCCUAAGUAUGCUAAGUACUGAUGAA